AGUCACCUCAAUCACCACACUUGCCAUUGUGAUUUUACAUGGUUAGUGUUAUUUCUUACAGGUAAUGCUGUUUUGUCCGGAAAGUUGCUGACCUUGUAGCCCAGCCAAUAUUUUGGUGAAGAAGUAGAAGUUCCUGGAUGAAGAGUCUUGGUCAGGAGGUUCUCCUCCACGUGGUAAUCCAUGGAUCCAGUCUCCAACCAACUCAUGGCUGUAUAUCUGUCUGGCUGGUAAACAAAAAGAAAGAACAUGCAGAAUGCAGCCCUUGUUCAAUGACACUAAAGGAAGAUAGAAGACUUCAGGAGAAAAUGCAAGCCUAUCUCUAUUAGCUGUGGUGCAACGGCCGAAGCAGCAACUCCAAGGUGAUUUGGUGUUCUGCAGUGUAACUUGAACAUUUAGUCUUAAACAAAUGAAUAGCCUGAAAGCAGAGAAUCAAUAGUUCUCUGAGAACAGUGUUUGCAUUUUCCUUCCGAUUAUGGCAUUCUCCCAAUAACUUAGAUUUCCUUUAAUGACAGUGAUCUUGGGCAGCUUCAGAUGCUCUGACCCAGUGCCCAACCAGAUCUUAUUAAAACUUUUGUUAUUUGUGUACACUACAGUUUAUGUGCUAUCUGCAUAAUGUCCCUUUUCCUGGUAGGAAGAAAAUCACAGACAAAUGCGUUAGAAUGUAUUAUGUUAUAAUUCAUGUCUAAGAAAUUUUGAGGUAUUUGGUUCUAAAACACCUUGUACUAAUUUCUCAGUUAUCCCAGUACUUCCUCAAACCUCCUUAAAUGUUAUGAUUUUGGUCCCUACCAAGCAUGGUUAUCAAUGACUCUGUGAUUUCUUCUAAUAGGCAAAAUGCAAUAGGUAUAUUAAAAUAUAAGCCUAAGUCAUUUACAGCUUGACUUGUAUGGCUUUUGAUUCCUUUUGAACACCUGUCGACACGUACCAGUGGACACCCUGAAUCUCAAGUGGUGAGAAUAGCACAUGGUUCAAGUGGACCUCUGCCAACUCUGCUGCCAGAGUCCCAGUACAGUGGAUGGUUAAAACCACAUAUGGUUCAACCAGAUUCUAUGGGGCAGAAUGGGAAAGACAGACUUCUGGGCCUGUCAUAGAACAAAGAUCCAACCAGACAGCCAUUUUCAGGGCUGCCAAGAGUAUUAUUCAGAGAGAUGUGCACAGCAAUAAGAGACAGGCAAGUUACCCAUUUUGAGAUCCAAGAAAACGAAGUUUGUCAGCUAUGCACCCCAUGCCAUGGUAAUAGGUAAGCUCUUUGGUCGCAUUUUCAAGGAGAUGUGUUUGCUUGCUUUAGCCUCUAUUCCAAUCUCCUGAUUGCAAUUUAAGAGAAAUGAAAAAAUCUAGCCUGGCCUCAUAUUUAUUCAAUUUUUUUUUUUUUUUUUUUUAGGGCCAUACUCAUGGCAUAUGGAGGUUCCCAGGCUGGGGUCUAAUUGGAGCUACAGCUGCUGGCCUACACCACAGUCACAGCAAUGCCAGAUUCAAGCCACAUUUGCAUCAUACACCACAGCUCAUGGCAAUGCAGGAUCCUGAACCCACUGAGCGAGGCCAGGGAUUGAACCCGCAACGUCAUGGUUCCUAGUCAGAUUCAUUUCCACUGAGCCACAAUAGGACCUCCUUCAUUCAAAAUUUGAUGCUUAAAAGGUAGGAAAAUAGUGGAGUAUUGUCCAAUAUAAAAAGAAUAAAUUGGACUUAAAAUUUUCUUUUACCA
rnacentral:lncRNA from 1 species